rnacentral:lncRNA from 1 species
AGUGUCAUGUUAGAUGAUUGUGAUUCUUUUCCCUCUUUUUUGAUGAAUGUUAUCUCUAUAGGCCUUUUGACUAAACUUGGUUACAAAUUUAUAAUAAAGAAUAAUUUUUGUGAUAUCAUUAUGAAUGAUGCUACAAUUAUGCAUGGAUAAUUAAAACAUGACAUAUACAUAAUAUCACGGCCUGUUAGUGUAAUGUGCACACCCAAUAAAUGUCCUAAGU